AAAGAUCGCAGCCUGCGGCAGCUCCUACAGGGGAAUGAUGUACAUCUGUAGGAGCUGCCGCAGGCUGCGAUCUUU
rnacentral:misc_RNA from 1 species